UUCUUUGAGGCUGAGAUUGCGUUUAGACUCAAUUGAAAAUGCGGUGUUUGUCAAUUGCGUUCGUGCUGGGUCUCCUGGCCUUGGCCAGUGCUUCGCCCUUGUUGCCUGGCGAUGUGAUCAUCAACGGACACUGUGUCAACUGCAAUGUUCACGGAGGCUGAGGGCUGUUGAAACGCAAUUCAACUAGGAUUUAAAUCUCGCCACAAACAAACAACUGAAUACUAUGUUAAUGCCUAAGUAAUUUGCAAAUAUAUAUAUAUAUAUAUAAAUA
rnacentral:sRNA from 1 species